CAAGUAGGCAGAGAGGCAGGCAGAGAGAGAGAGAGGGGAAAGCAGGCUUCCUGCUGAGCAGAGAGCCCGAUGCGGGGCUCAAUCCCAGGACCUUGGGAUCAUGACCCAAGCCAAAGGCAGAGGCUUUAACCCACUGAGCCACUAAGGCACCCCUUUUCAGUAGAAUCUUAAGACACUUUUGUUCUCAUUCAGGUUGGAUCCCCAACUUUCUGGAGUCGACACCAGCCCAGGCUGGAAUUCUUCAUGCCUUUAGAUUGCUGCAGUGUCCCACCAACACCCCCCAGAGGAGGCAAGGGCCACUCCGGGGUCUGCUGCCUCUUUAAGGUGAAUGCUGAAUGCUGUGUUCACGUUUUCCAUGCAGAAACCCUAAUGGUGCCCCUGCAGCCACAACUAAUGGGCUCUGCUCCACAAUGUGAGACCCACAUGCUUAAGUAAAGGAUCAAAGGGCAGGGGAAGGUAGAGCCUGGACCCCUCCAAUAGGUUCCGAACCAUCCCUUGAUGUCCCCACCCCACCCAUGUCUUCAGAAUCUAUGGAUUGAGCAGCACUGUUUGUCUGUCUGUCUUUCACUUUCCAUCUGUUGCCCUGACCUAAUGCUUCAUUUUUGAGUGGUAGCUUCAUUCCAGGCUAACGCUUUCAGAAGAACUUGAGUCCCAAGCUCCUUUCCCCCAGUCAGCUCAAAAGAGCAAAUGGCCCCUAGGGGUUAUAGAAAGUAUUUUCUGCCCUUUUCUUUUACUUACCAGAAUUUACCUGAAUGUGAAUAAAUUAUGUGCAAAAUCGCUUCUAUUAUGCAAUAGAUGUUCAGUCCAAUAAGUUAAAACAAAAAUUAAUAGAACAAAUUGAACUUAAAAAAAAAUUUUUUACUGGGCCUCCUCAGAAGGGCCCCAGGGGAUCUUUGUCCCCAUCUGCACUCCCUCUGCUUUAUCCUACCCACCCCCAAUGACCCCAUCUGCCCCCAGCCCUUUCCGUUUAAUACACACAUUCACCAGGGCACCUGGGUGGCUCAGUCAGUUAAGCAUCUGACUCUUGAUUUCAGCUCAGGUCAUGAGAUCAAGCCCCAAGUUGAGCUCCACAAUGGGCAUGAAGCCUGCUUGAGAUUCUCCCUCUCCCUUUGCCCCUCCCCACCCAUGCCCAAUUGUGUGCUCUCUCUCUCUCUAAAAUAAAACAAAACAAAACACCCCACAAGCAUUAACCAAAUGGGUAACUGUUGGAUAGAUGGUGACCAGGGGAGAAGGCAAAGCAGCGAAAUAAGGAAGGGAGUGUCCCUAAAGCAACCAUUGAUGGCCCUACAACAGCAUUUAGAGGUGGCUCAGUCCUGCUCACUGUCUGAAACAAAUUCAUGCUGAGGAAGAUGCUUCUCAAAUGCAAGCUCGAGUCCCUUGCAACUCAGAAGAACUAGAACGUUGUACUCAGAAAUGUUGCCGACCUAUCUGGAGCUCCAGUGAGGUUGCCCUCAAGAGACUAAACUAUAGUAGUUGGCACAGAGUUCAGCCGCGACUUCAAAGCCAUUUGAAAGACGAUCGCCCCCCAAGCCUGCAAGAGGGUAGCUGAACGGACAUUAAUCAGAGCUAAAGAAAUCACGUGAACAUCAGGAGGUUGAAGUGUAGAAAACUGAGUCACCAGGGGGCAAAUGCUGGGUUCUUGCAAGUGUUGUCCAGGGGAAAGAUACCCGCCCCUUCUAUUGGCGGGGCGGGUCCUAUCAUGUCCGUGGAAGCAUCGGGCUCUCUUAGCCUGGUGCCAUUAAGCACUGGAUUUAUCUGAACGGCUCUUCUCUGUCUUCCUGCUCUUCAGGCAAUCUCUGAUUAUUAUCUGACUUCCUCUACCAUGCUGCCUACGGAAAUGGAUCUGCUACCAGGACUUUGAGCAUUCCAUUACAUAUAGUGGUUUAAAAAAAAAAAUUUUUUUUCUGAUUAGAAAUGAACAAAAUGGCAUUCUGACCACUGUAUUCCUUGGCUUCCCCUGCAGGUUGGCAACUGGGGGAGAAAGGACUGGUUAUGUAAUUUACGAGUUCCUGAUCCUGGGAGGUAUUUCUCAUUGCAAGUGAAAAAGCUGGCCUUCCAGUUUUGGGGGCUUAGGGGCUGCGAGUCUGUCCCUGAGGAGGUUCACAUACUCAGGGAGCACUUGGGUUUCUGAGCAUGGAAGGGGGAAGGCCCUCCUGACUUUGGAAUGUGGAAAGUUCCCCUUGGUAAAGGACACAGCCACCGAGCCUUGUUUCCUAUGUGAUAAGCACAUAUGCUUCUAGCUGCAGUGAUUUUUACCAUUUUUAGGCAAAGAUAGAAUGCUUGAUUCAUAAUGUAGGAUACAGUGCUUACCGGGCACGGCCCAGUCAACACUAACAUUUAGGCUCCUGGAACAAAAAUGCAGCGUUGUCUCCCUCAUAGGCAUCCUUUGAAAAGCUCUCCACAAAAUAAACGUUUUGAAAUUUCAACCUAAUUAAGAUCCCGGUGUGGAUGCAUUUAUCAGGCCCAUGAACUAAGGAGGGGAGGGAGGAAGGCAAACGAAUGAUCGCAGCCCCACACAGCCCCUCCCGUUCCCCUCCAAGCAAGAGGCAAGAUGAGACGGGCGCCAAAAGAUGAGAAGAAUUUCCAUCCUGUUUGGAUUACGCAGAGAUGCUUUUAGAGGACGCUUAGUAAGAAAACAGAAGCGGUAGAAAAUGCACAAUUGCCUAUUUGCUUCUGCUUUGGAUACCCAUUUAUAGACCCUCAGAGCCACGUCCCAAGAAGGCAGGAUUUCCAGGCUGAAGCGAGCAGAGGCAGGGACUUUGAAAAUGGACCGGCGGGGAUCCUGUGUAGUGAUAAUGGCUGCGGUUUCCAUGGUGAUCACAAGCACAGCUCAGAUUCACCUGUACACCCUGUCUCUCUGCUCCUUUUGUUCGGAGCAAACUACCAUCACACAGCGAAAGAUCGCACUGUUAGCAAGGCAAAGGCAUUUUCCUGAACUGGAUGCCAGCAGUCUGGGCUCUAGGUACAGAGCUUUUGUUCCGUAAUGAAUCUGCCACUUCCCAGGCGCCUUGUUGUUAGCGUAACAAGGAGGGAGCUGGAGAAAAAAAUAUGGGUCUAAAAAUGCUUGGAUCUCACCUGGGCCAAAUUUGUCUGAGAAAGAGACUGAGUCUUGAAUUCUCAAAUCUAGUGAGUCCCAGACCCUAGUAGGUCCCAGACUCCAUAAAACUCUGCAAAAUGCAAAUCCAGGUCCCGCCCCGGGGAAGUGGAUUUAGUAGGUCUGAGAGAGGGUCCAGGACCGGAAUUUUUAAGUUACCCCAGCUGACUGAGAUGCAGAUGGUCCGCAGACCACAGACCACACUGUUCUGGAUAUUUGAGGACAGUCUCCCCUUCAUGGAGGAUCAAGAUUUUAAAGAGAAAUGUUGACUUUCAGGGGAUUUCCUCCACAAGGAAUCCACAUGUGGCUUCUAGUCAGGUGGCAGAGGGGCUGUAGAAUAGGCCUGGGCUUUAAAAGGCUUGCUUUGGGGGCUCGGUUUAUUAUAAUCCCACAGCAGGGCCCCCUCAGAGUGGCGUCCAGCUCCUGCCUGCUGUGACAUCUGGAGAGAAGACGAGGAACCGCUCUCCUGCAGCACCUGGAGGGGCUUCCAAGAACAGGCAGGGGGAGCGGUUACCUGCAAGUUCAGAGAUCAGAUACAGAAUUCCCCCCAAGCACCUGCUUCCAACGGCCUUGGAGAAGAGCUUGGUGCACCCCAGAAAGCUUCCCACAGAGCCAGCACUUAAGGAGGUGGCUCAUGAGAAGCCCCAGCCACGCAGGGGAGGUGACCACUGUGUUGCUGACACUCUGUGGCUUUUCCCGUUUUCACAGAAUGAGAAGAAAAGGACAAGUUUCCAACGGGACGAUAAUUAGAAAUAAAGUAAC